rnacentral:rRNA from 1 species
UACAGUGGGGGCAAGCGUUGUUCGGAAUUACUGGGCGUAAAGGGCUCGUAGGCGGCCAACUAAGUCACACGUGAAAUCCCCAGGCUUAACCUGGGAACUGCGUGUGAUACUGGAUGGCUUGAAUCCGGGAGAGGGAUGCAGAAUUCCAGGUGUAGCGGUGAAAUGCGUAGAUAUCUGGAGGAAUACCGGUGGCGAAGGCGGCAUCCUGGACCGGCAUUGACGCUGAUGAGCGAAAGCUAGGGGAGCAAACGGG